AGAGUUUGAUCAUGGCUCAGAUUGAACGCUGGCGGCAGGCCUAACACAUGCAAGUCGAGCGGUAGCACAGAGAGCUUGCUCUCGGGUGACGAGCGGCGGACGGGUGAGUAAUGUCUGGGAAACUGCCUGAUGGAGGGGGAUAACUACUGGAAACGGUAGCUAAUACCGCAUAACGUCGCAAGACCAAAGUGGGGGACCUUCGGGCCUCAUGCCAUCAGAUGUGCCCAGAUGGGAUUAGCUAGUAGGUGGGGUAACGGCUCACCUAGGCGACGAUCCCUAGCUGGUCUGAGAGGAUGACCAGCCACACUGGAACUGAGACACGGUCCAGACUCCUACGGGAGGCAGCAGUGGGGAAUAUUGCACAAUGGGCGCAAGCCUGAUGCAGCCAUGCCGCGUGUGUGAAGAAGGCCUUCGGGUUGUAAAGCACUUUCAGCGGGGAGGAAGGCGNUCGAUUGACGUUACCCGCAGAAGAAGCACCGGCUAACUCCGUGCCAGCAGCCGCGGUAAUACGGAGGGUGCAAGCGUUAAUCGGAAUUACUGGGCGUAAAGCGCACGCAGGCGGUCUGUCAAGUCGGAUGUGAAAUCCCCGGGCUCAACCUGGGAACUGCAUUCGAAACUGGCAGGCUAGAGUCUUGUAGAGGGGGGUAGAAUUCCAGGUGUAGCGGUGAAAUGCGUAGAGAUCUGGAGGAAUACCGGUGGCGAAGGCGGCCCCCUGGACAAAGACUGACGCUCAGGUGCGAAAGCGUGGGGAGCAAACAGGAUUAGAUACCCUGGUAGUCCACGCCGUAAACGAUGUCGAUUUGGAGGUUGUGCCCUUGAGGCGUGGCUUCCGGAGCUAACGCGUUAAAUCGACCGCCUGGGGAGUACGGCCGCAAGGUUAAAACUCAAAUGAAUUGACGGGGGCCCGCACAAGCGGUGGAGCAUGUGGUUUAAUUCGAUGCAACGCGAAGAACCUUACCUGGUCUUGACAUCCACAGAACUUAGCAGAGAUGCUUUGGUGCCUUCGGGAACUGUGAGACAGGUGCUGCAUGGCUGUCGUCAGCUCGUGUUGUGAAAUGUUGGGUUAAGUCCCGCAACGAGCGCAACCCUUAUCCUUUGUUGCCAGCGGUUAGGCCGGGAACUCAAAGGAGACUGCCAGUGAUAAACUGGAGGAAGGUGGGGAUGACGUCAAGUCAUCAUGGCCCUUACGACCAGGGCUACACACGUGCUACAAUGGCAUAUACAAAGAGAAGCGACCUCGCGAGAGCAAGCGGACCUCAUAAAGUAUGUCGUAGUCCGGAUUGGAGUCUGCAACUCGACUCCAUGAAGUCGGAAUCGCUAGUAAUCGUAGAUCAGAAUGCUACGGUGAAUACGUUCCCGGGCCUUGUACACACCGCCCGUCACACCAUGGGAGUGGGUUGCAAAAGAAGUAGGUAGCUUAACCUUCGGGAGGGCGCUUACCACUUUGUGAUUCAUGACUGGGGUGAAGUCGUAACAAGGUAACCGUAGGGGAACCUGCGGUUG
rnacentral:rRNA from 1 species